rnacentral:rRNA from 1 species
AUUGAACGCUGGCGGCAGGCCUAACACAUGCAAGUCGGGCGAGCGGAGGACGGGUGAGUAAUGUAUGGGGAUCUGCCUGAUGGCGGGGGAUAACUACUGGAAACGGUAGUUAAUACCGCAUACCAUCAGAUGAACCCAUAUGGGAUUAGCUAGUAGGUAAGGUAACGGGUUACCUAGGCGACGAUCCCUAGCUGGUCUGAGAGGGUGGUCAGCCACACUGGGACGGAGACACGGCCAAGACUACUACGGGAGGCAGCAGUGGGGAAUGUUGCACAAUAGGCGCGAACCUGGUGCAGCCAGGCCACGUGUAUGAAGAAGGCCUUCGGGUUGGAAAGUACUUUCAGGCGUGAUGCGUUACCGACAGAAGAAGCACCGGCUAACUCCGUGCCAGCAGCCGCGGUAAUUC